rnacentral:rRNA from 1 species
UGGGAACCUUCCCUAUGGUUCGGAAUAGCUCAGGGAAACUUGAGGUAAUACCGGAUAAGCCCUUCGGGGGAAAGAUUUAUCGCCAUUGGAUGGGCCCGCGUCGGAUUAGCUAGUUGGUGAGGUAACGGCUCACCAAGGCAACGAUCCGUAGCUGGUCUGAGAGGAUGAUCAGCCACACUGGGACUGAGACACGGCCCAGACUCCUACGGGAGGCAG